rfam:Ovis aries breed Texel chromosome 6, whole genome shotgun sequence.
UCUCUGGUGGUCCAGUGGUUAGGACUCUGCACUUUCACUGCCUAGGGCUCAGGUUUGAUCACUGGUCAGGGAA